CGGAGGGAGCUAGCGUUGUUCGGAAUUACUGGGCGUAAAGCGCGCGUAGGCGGCUUUUUAAGUCAGAGGUGAAAGCCCGGGGCUCAACCCCGGAAUUGCCUUUGUAAACUGGAAAGACUAGAAUCUUGGAGAGGUCAGUGGAAUUCCGAGUGUAGAGGUGAAAUUCGUAGAUAUUCGGAAGAACACCAGUGGCGAAGGCGACUGACUGGACAAGUAUUGACGCUGAGGUGCGAAAGCGUGGGGGAGCAAACAGGAUU
rnacentral:rRNA from 1 species